CUAUGGGGUCACACAGAGUCGGACACGACUGAAGCGACUUAGCAGCAGCAGCAGCCUAAUAAUAACUAGUAAUCAAAUAAAACACUAGGUUUACCCUUCACUGCUGUUUAUCUGUAUGGCUUCUGCAGGAGCCUCAUGGGGAAUUGGGAGUUUAAGACAAGGUAGGAUUUGGAUGUUCUUGGCUUCUGGACCUUAACAGCAUCUUCUUAGGAUGACCAACCAUCCUGGUUUGUUUGAGACAGGGCUUUUCUGGGACAUGAGAUGUUCAGUGCUGUAACUGAGAAAGUUCCAGGCAAAAAGAAAUUAAUUGGUCACCCUACUUUUGCACCAUUCAGAUCUUACCCCAAUUUAUAACACAGAUUUGAGGUAUUUGAAGGGUUAUUUUCUAUAAAUAUCAAUGAAUAGGUCAACUGGAAAUUGCAGUGGUUGACUAAAUACUGAACUUCUAAGAGAGGGGAAAAAAACGCCUUUUUCUUCUCUUUGUAGGAAAAGGCAACACACUGUCUUUUAAGAACAAUAAUAUGAGUUAAAAAAUACUUUGAGUUAGUCUUCCAUCAACUCUCUUCUAACCACUGUAUGAGAAGAUUAUAGGAAAAACACCAAGACUAGAGGACUGUGGGUUCCUUUUAUGCAAAGUCAACUCUUCUGGGUCACAGUUACCCAGCAACAAAAUAAAAGUAGUUAUUUAUAAGUUGUAUUAAAGAUAGAAAGCAUAAUGUAUUAUUUUUUAGAAUUUUGGUUCUUUUCCCAGCAAGAAAAAAAACACUGGGAUAUUUUCAAGCACAUUGAAGGUUUCUACAAAUAAGCCCCAGUUCUAAAGACUAAGACCACCCAAGAUUAAAUCUCAAGAUGAAAUUCUUCAGGAGACUGAAAUUUUCAGAGCUGGAUGAAAUCUAAAAGCAUGUUCAGUGUUUCCAUUUUCCAGAUGAAGUAAUCAAGGAUUCAAAGGCUUCUUAACUUUCCCCAAGUCACAUAACUAGGUCUCAGCGGGACACUCAAUACUGUAGAAAAGAAUGUGUUUGACAAAUAGGCCUUGGGCAGUUGUUGACCUAGGACAGUUCUUCAAAUUCUAUAGCCACUUGAAUUAGUGUUUCUUCAACUAAUCUCCAUCUAAGUCAGUUGGCCCAAAUCAUUUCUGCCAAAAUAAUCUUAACACAGAACACUUUUCAUUUCUUCACUUGAGUUCCUGUUAUGCCCACAGUUACAGAAUGAAAGCCAAGCUUCUUUAGCAUAAUAUUGAAAACCCUUAAUGACCUGACUUCAGGCUAUCUCUUCAGUUUGAUUUCCCAUCAUUCUCUUUUCACUUUUUACUGACAAACCAUCUUCUUUCUUUGACUACACCUUGCUCUCUGUCUUCGCUGUGCCUGUAUGACCUCCCCCUUGCAGUUUCUUUAAUCCCUCUCGUAUUUUAAAUAAUCUAAUUCUUUGUGCUGUGUUUCUCUUUUGCUUGUACCUCUGUAACACAACUAACUAACUAAUCCAGACUGCCUGGAUUCAAGUCUCAGUUCCACAAUAAAUCACGUAAUAAAUCACUUAAUCUCUGUGCACUUUGGUUUUCUUAUCUGUAGCCCGGGUCUGAUAGUACCUACCUCAUAGGGUAUUGUUGGUUUAAAUGAGGUAAAGCACGGAAAGUUCCUGGUACGUAGUAAACCUUCAAGUGGUGGUUGCUGCUGUUAUUAAACACUUCUCUAUAAUUUGAUCAAACUUCUGAAUUCAAGGAAUGUGGCUUUCUCAUAGUCCAGAGACCUGACACAGUGCUUUACAUGAAUUACCAUGAUUAAACUUGGGGCUAGGUUAUAAAGGAAAACUGAAACUAUUUCCUGGAGAUGUGAAAGGCCCACUCACCUAUCUUCCAGGAUUGUUUCAGUGAACUUUUUCCUGAAAGCAGAGACAUGCAUAGAUCAGCAGCCUUUAUGGGUGAGUGUGGUUAUUUUACUGGUAAGUAUUGGACUGUGUAACGUGCCAGUCUUGCUGACCCCCCUAGGAUUUCUCUGGACUCAACACCCUUUACUACUACAUUCACAGUGCUCUAAUAUUGAUACUCAUACAGAGGACCACGAUGAUAACAAGCACCUUGUUGAUCCUGAAGAGAACUCUGGAGGCUUCUUCAAGCUUGUGGGUUCUUCAUUCUCUUGAAGCCUUCCAUACAUGUGGUGUGUUUUGCCGAGACCUGGUUCUACCAAGAUGGUUUUAAUUGUUUCUGCUAAAAGGAAUGGACUCAAGGAUUUGUUCUCAUUUUAGAGGAGAUUAUCCCCAACUGACCAUCGUAUGGUACUUUAGUUGCUAUUGCCAAUGUGUUUGGUCACCAUUAAAUCAAUAUUUAUUAUCUGUUGAGGCAAGUCAGUAAAAUUAAUGCUUAUGUCCUGACGCUGGCACUCUUCAUGUUGUUUAAAUACUUAAUUUAGUUGUGUAAGACAGUUCAAGUAUUUUCUUAAAUAAAAAAACUUAAAACCUUUUUCUUUCACAUUGCUUUGUUUUCUGUGGCAAAAUGCAAAUGUAGUUGAAGAACCACCAAAGAAAACCUCUCCCACUAUCCUUGAUAAGUCGUGUUAGAGGGGAAAAAGUAAUCCACAUAUCUAAGAAAGUUUUU
rnacentral:lncRNA from 1 species